GAUGAACGCUGGCGGCGUGCCUAAUACAUGCAAGUCGAACGAACAGAUGAGGAGCUUGCUCCUCUGACGUUAGCGGCGGACGGGUGAGUAACACGUGGAUAACCUACCUAUAAGACUGGGAUAACUUCGGGAAACCGGAGCUAAUACCGGAUAAUAUAUUGAACCGCAUGGUUCAAUAGUGAAAGACGGUUUUGCUGUCACUUAUAGAUGGAUCCGCGCCGCAUUAGCUAGUUGGUAAGGUAACGGCUUACCAAGGCAACGAUGCGUAGCCGACCUGAGAGGGUGAUCGGCCACACUGGAACUGAGACACGGUCCAGACUCCUACGGGAGGCAGCAGUAGGGAAUCUUCCGCAAUGGGCGAAAGCUUGACGGAGCAACGCCGCGUGAGUGAUGAAGGUCUUCGGAUCGUAAAACUCUGUUAUUAGGGAAGAACAAAUGUGUAAGUAACUAUGCACGUCUUGACGGUACCUAAUCAGAAAGCCACGGCUAACUACGUG
rnacentral:rRNA from 1 species